rnacentral:lncRNA from 1 species
UGAGUGUGUUUUACCUGGCCGGUGAAUUUCGGAGGGAUGGUUUCAAAAACAGAGCAAGUUUUCAUUGGGUGCCGGAGGAAGACACGACUGAGAUAGGAAUGUUUGGAGAUACUGUGGAUAUUGAUUAUAUCCGAUCCUGCUGCAGUCUAUCUUUCUCUUCCUUCUCUCGCAGAUCUCUUCAUCAGCCGGUGUUGGACCUGCAGGCUGCCAGCAGGAGGGGUGCAGGGAGGGGUGAUAGAUAAAUAAAUAACCCAAUAAAGGAUGCAUUGAGAGGAUGUGUGUGCAGCCAAGAGAAGAGGGUGCCUGCUUAAACAGUCCCGAGUCUUGUUGAAGGCUGGCUGCACUGCAGAGCAGGGGGAAAAGCACAGAGAAGGGACCUUGAAGGAUUUUGGGCUGUACUGCAGAACGAUGCCACUGCAGUACAGCACUGACACAGAGGCACAAAGGACCCCUGACCUCCUCACAUCAGGUGAGAACUUAAUUCAGAGCUGAUAUCAGAGGCCUUCAUGCCUCAGGAGGAGAGGGAGGCAGAGAAACAAAAAGAAGGGGAGGGAAGCAGAGGAGGAGGAGGAGGGUAAUGGUGCUGUAUUUUUGGAUAAGGGAUCUCCUGAAUUAAGUGUGGCUGGAAUAAAGAUGUAGUGUGAGCAGGAGGCUGAACAAGGACGGUGCUGUGCUCUACUGUGGUGGAGAGGAGUGGAGCAGACGCCUGGCAGACUCACACUCGCACACACUGGCUCAGAGAGACUGAGAGAGAAAGAGAGAGAGCCCAGCGUCACAUCUGCGGGGCUGGGAAGCCUUUCAUCUCACUUCCUCUCACCUGCUGCCCUCCCUCUUCAGUCCUGGUGAUUCCCAGCCCCCCUUCAUUCCUCUCCCACCUCCUCCCUUUGUCAGUGUCCUGUCCUGCAUCCAAAAGUCCUCAUUCUGUCUGGUCCACACCUGAGAAUACAGACUAUCAAGAGGCUAUGGCUGGUUACCCCCCCCACCAACCUGCAAUGCACCUAUGACUUCAUACAGCACUUCUGGAUCCUGUCUACUUCUGUAAGGGCUGAGAAUGCAUGAUUGCCCAUGAUCACUCCCCCUACAUUACUCACAAGACAAACAGACCUGAGAACAACACUCACAAGACAAACAGACCUGAGAACAACAUUGUGCCGCUUAUUGGAUUAAAUAGAUUUAUUAAAGGCAUAAACAAGGAUUUGAGAUAAUUGAGCUCUCAUGGACUGAUCUCCACCCGGGUCGUGAAUAUCUCAUCAUGACAACAGUGAGUAAGCAUUGACCUCUGACCUUUUUUAUUUGUCAAAAGUUAAAAGAUGAUUCAUUUUCAGUCAUUAUAUUCUGGCAUAUACUGUGACAUCCAGGGGUUACGCAGAUUGCAAUGCAGCAAAUAAUUGCAUUUGCCACUAAUUUUGGUUGUGCAUCUUAAGUUGACAUAACAAUCCUAUACCAAGUGAUCAAAGAACACCUUUAUACCUUUCAUCACAUAUAUGGUAGUGGGUUUGUUUGCAGUGUUUGGGGACUGAGUGAUGGUAAGUGUCCUGUUUGACAUGGGGCUCUUUUACACCUAUCCCUCUGAGCUAACAAGCCUCCGGAGGAAGAUUCCCUCUAAUUAGGGUCAAACAUAACACUCUGCCUGCUGUCUCUAUCUGACCCUCAGGGUCUAUACGGUUUGCCUUUGUUCACAUCACAGGCAAAUGUAUAGGACAAGACAAGAAAGGGAUAAAUCCAUUAUAGUGCACAGGCAAUAUUUGGGAUUUUUGGCAGUUCUAACUCCAGAUACAUUGCUUAAAGUUAAACCCAAAUUGCUAAUAUGAAAGGAUCAGUUAUGUAUUUUUUGGAAUUAUAUGACGUAAAACAGCUAAGUACUGGUCUGGUGCAGCUGUAAAUAACUGUGAGAACAGUAAGUUACUGUGGAAGAAAAAUCAACAACCACUUCAGUGGAAGUCAGCGUUAUUUCUGCCACUCUUCUCCAUUGCGGUGGCUGUUAUGAUAUAAGGGCACUGAGUGAAGCGGCUCUUUCUUUCAUGAAAGGGGGACCAGGAGGCAACUGAAUGAAUGAAAGGGGGGGAUUGUUCCCUAGUCUGGCUGCCACUGAGUACCUGCCAAACUCAUUCUAGCCUUUAAUUAAAGUCAUUAACCUGAGAAAAUGAGUAAAAAGUGAGAAAGACAAAGAGAGAGUGACUGAGAGAGAGUUUAUAUAUAUAUAUAUAAUUUUUCCCUCCCAAAUUCUCUUUACUUUAAUG